rfam:Tinamus guttatus contig19548, whole genome shotgun sequence.
GUGUUUUCUCAGCUCUGAGAACUGAAUUCCAUGGGUUGUAAUUGAAUCCUCUGUCAGACCCAUGGGGCUCAGUUCUGCAGCUUGGAUAUUUCUG